UUGUCGGGUUUGGAAUUCAGCCACUCAGAUCAAGAAAAAAAAAAAAAGCAAAAGAAGAGAAAAGAAGGAAAAGAAGAAUCGAAGAGAGGGGAAGAUCUCGCCGAUAACCGUCGGGUUUGAAACUCAGCCACUUAGAUCAAGAUCAAAAAAAGCAAAAGAAGAGAAAAGACGGAAAAGAAGAAUAGAAAAGAGGAGAAGAUCUCGCCGAGAAUAGACCGGCCGGAAGGUCGCUGGGGUGGGAAAGAGAAAGAGGAGAGAUCCAAGAUUGUGGUGGACUUCCGGGGGAAGGUUUGAGUUUGUUUCUGGAGAGGUGGAUGCUAAAAUUUUGAUCGAGUUUGGGGGAGAGCUUUCAGCAGGAGAAGAGUGUAGAGAUGAAGAAGGGAUAUUCUUGGUAUAUUCAGUCAGUAGCUUUGAAAGCACCUGUGUAUUCAAUUGGACCAAUUUAGGAGUGGAGUGCCUUUUGUGUAAUAAAAAGUUUCUGGUCAAGUAUGAAGGAAUUCCUGGGAAUGGAGUAGCUUGAACACCGCUUAUUAUGGUGGAGUAUCAUUAAAAUGAGAUGUAUUGUUUGACAUAUAUUAUCUAGAACCCCCACUUAUUGUCAAAACAAAAAGAAAGUGAAAUGGUUAAUUGCUUUUGGGGGGUAACAAUGAAUACAGAAGUCAUUGCCUACAAUAGCUCUUUAUGUGAGUGGACAUAAUGGGGAGUGCAAUUUCUUUCUGCUGUUUCGGAUUAUAUAGUGCAAAUUGUUUCUGUUUCAUAUUUGUUAGUUGAUUACAUGGAAUAAAAACCUGUAGGCUGUAUACUGCUGGUAUUAAAAGGAAAGUCUCUGAUCCUAUGUACUGUAAAUAUUGACAUUUAGAAGAUUAACAUUUCUCUGGAAUUUUUUAUAUGUUUUUGCUUAUUUAUUUGAAUACGGUAUCAGUUUGCCACAAAGAACUAUUUGGUAGGUGGGAAUUUGAAACACCAGUUCAUCCAUAUUCUGCUUAGUGCUGCUUUCCUUAUUCUACACUCUACAUUCUAGAGUUGUAUACAGAAUUACAGUUGAAUUAAAAAUGGGUUCAUAAACACACUCAGUUGAACAAGUCAAAGAUAAUAAUCUAUGGCAUUCUGUACAUACUAGAACUCUCUAUUUUUACUUAAAUACUGAGACCAAGAGAAGGAAAUACAUUCAUGACCCUUAUAUAUACCAUAGACUUCCAUGUCAUCAAAAGAAAAGAAAAAGAAAAAAAAACACUUCCAUGUGCUAAACUAAUUAAUAACAUCAGCUUGGAUAAUGAGGUUAAUAUAAAAGUUUCCCUUGGAUUUUUAAACUAUUGUUAGUCAUUUCAUGAUAUUAAUUAUAUCUAUUUUGCUUUCCGAGCUUAAUAAUGCUCCUGUUGUGCUGAGAGGAUUUGAAUUUAGCAAACUUCAGGAAAACUAUCAGCAAGUUUGUUGAUUGAUUGAACCAAAGUAUAGAAAUAGGCAAUUCAUUAGUCCUUGAAAUGAAGGUGCGGACUGUUGAUAGAAGUUGAGUCUCACUUUUGGCAUUUCUCUAUCAGAUGACAUCUAUCAAUGGAAACCGGGAACUAGGAGUAUAACACUCGCUGUAUUUUCUCAAUUGCUGCGAUUCUCUAAGAUUCUCAACUUUCCGGUCUCAAUUUAUCAAACAAUGAGGAUUGGUUUGUGCUUCAGUCUAAGGCAAUGAGAAUGAGCAAAGGGUGACAAGUUGUUGGCGUCGCAAAAUGCAGAGAGCCAUCAGAGGACGACAAAGUUACUAGAUGAAGAAAUUGAAGAGGACGAGAUGUUCUGGAAUCAGGAGGCUCUUAAAGAGGAGGAAGAAGAUGAUAACUAUGAAGUGGAGCUGAAAGUUGUUGAUUUGUUUGAUAAUGACUUGGUUAAAGAUUUCCUAAGCUGGAUUGAGCGAUGCUGUGAUUUGGUGUUGAAGCAUCUUUCAGUCAUCCAGAAACAAAGAUGCUGAUGAAAAAAGUUGAUGCAUUGAUGAAAGCCAUGGAGCAGAGUCUGAAAAUAAAGAGAGAAACCGUAGCUAAAGAUAAAGAAGCUGCAGCAGCCAAGGUGGAUGCUGACAAAAAGAACAGAAUUAUAAACUCAUCUAAGAGGUUCUAAUUACUUUUCAACAGCCUCAAUACCAUUCUUUCCUUUUGUAUGAUGCUUCUGUAGCAGCAUCCCUUUCAAAUAUUAAAAUUUUUCAGAUCUGAUCACCUGAAUAUAUGAUUGAUUUUAUGGUUUACUUCUAAUUGCUGGGGGUAACAAAAGCAUCUUCAAUGUUUGGUUACACGAGAUUUAUUGAAGAUAAUGUGGAGAUUUAGUCUUUAUGAGCAAUGUGUCCUAUUAUGAUCAUACGACAAUAAUUCCCGCAGCAAAGUUUCAGCUUAAUGACAAAUUUAAACCCAGUUCGUUUUUCUGUCCAAGUUUAUGUACAAAAUUUGGGUUCCUGUUUCUUUAAAGUUUUAUUUUGGGUUCUGAUUCUGCGUCAUUUUGAUGCGUCAAAUCUGAUAUAACUCCCCUAGGUCCACUCCUUGAUAAGACUGAACGUUAUUUCACCAAGGUAAACUCAACCUCCUGUGCAAAAAAUUUAAGUUCAUGUAUUUUGAUUAUCGAUCUCUGCAUUCUUCCGUGACUACAAAGGAACUCCAUAAGAAAGCUGACUGGUAAGAUGUCUUCUAAUAUUUAUUUAUUAUCUGCUUUGCCUACAUUUUAGAUAAUAAGCUUCUGAUAGAACACUUGGAAAUGAAGCGUACUGUUGAAAGGCCAACUGUCGACAACCUUAUCUGGUUUGCUCACAUUUUAGAAAGAUAUGAGAAGUUGAAGUUGGAGAUUGUGAAUAGAAAGAGCGAGAAUGAAAAUUUAAGGCAGAAUUCAUCGACCAAAUUAAGAGACCAGCUAUUGACCAGCAUUGCUCUUCAGCAAGCAACACCAACACCGACUGAACAUUGUAUUCAAUUUAUAGCUUCAUUAAAGUACAUACAUCAAGUUUGAUCUGAAAUUCUCAGUUUUGUAUCAAUCACAUUAUCAUCUAUUAAACCAGUUCCCGCGCAAGCCGCGGGCAACUAUUGCUCGUUAU